CAGGCUUAACACAUGCAAGUCGAGGGGUAUAUUUCUUCGGAGAUAGAGACCGGCGCACGGGUGCGUAACGCGUAUGCAAUCUACCUUUUACAGAGGGAUAGCCCAGAGAAAUUUGGAUUAAUACCUCAUAGCAUAGCAGCUUCGCAUGAAGCCACUAUUAAAGUCACAACGGUAAAAGAUGAGCAUGCGUCCCAUUAGCUAGUUGGUAAGGUAACGGCUUACCAAGGCUACGAUGGGUAGGGGUCCUGAGAGGGAGAUCCCCCACACUGGUACUGAGACACGGACCAGACUCCUACGGGAGGCAGCAGUGAGGAAUAUUGGACAAUGGGCGCAAGCCUGAUCCAGCCAUGCCGCGUGCAGGAUGACGGUCCUAUGGAUUGUAAACUGCUUUUAUACGAGAAGAAACACUCCAACGUGUUGGAGCUUGACGGUAUCGUAAGAAUAAGGAUCGGCUAACUCCGUGCCAGCAGCCGCGGUAAUACGGAGGAUCCAAGCGUUAUCCGGAAUCAUUGGGUUUAAAGGGUCCGUAGGCGGUUUAAUAAGUCAGUGGUGAAAGCCCAUCGCUCAACGGUGGAACGGCCAUUGAUACUGUUAAACUUGAAUUAUUAGGAAGUAACUAGAAUAUGUAGUGUAGCGGUGAAAUGCUUAGAGAUUACAUGGAAUACCAAUUGCGAAGGCAGGUUACUACUAAUGGAUUGACGCUGAUGGACGAAAGCGUGGGUAGCGAACAGGAUUAGAUACCCUGGUAGUCCACGCCGUAAACGAUGGAUACUAGCUGUU
rnacentral:rRNA from 1 species